CGCGAAGUGGAGUAAUCAGGUAGCUCGCAAGGCUCAUAAUCUUGAGGUAUGGGUUCAAAUCCCAUCUUCGCUA
rnacentral:tRNA from 2 species